GACAGAGGGUGCAAACGUUGUUCGGAAUUACUGGGCGUAAAGCGUGCGCAGGCGGCUUCUCAAGUCAGGGGUGAAAGCCCAGAGCUCAACUCUGGAAUUGCCUUUGAGACUGAGUGGCUUGAGUACGGAAGAGGCGAGUGGAAUUCCUGGUGUAGCGGUGGAAUGCGCAGAUAUCAGGAGGAACACCAAUAGCGAAGGCAGCUCGCUGGGACGUUACUGACACUAAGGCGCGAAAAGCGUGGGGGAGCGAAACAGG
rnacentral:rRNA from 1 species